UACAGAGGGGGCAAGCGUUGUUCGGAAUUACUGGGCGUAAAGGGCGCGUAGGCGGCCUGUUAAGUCGAACGUGAAAUCCCCGGGCUCAACCCGGGAACUGCGUCCGAGACUGGCAGGCUCGAAUCCGGGAGAGGGAUGUGGAAUUCCAGGUGUAGCGGUGAAAUGCGUAGAUAUCUGGAGGAACAUCGGUGGCGAAGGCGGCAUCCUGGCCCUGUCCUGACGCUCAGGGGCGAAAGCGUGGGGAGCAAACCGG
rnacentral:rRNA from 1 species